rnacentral:tRNA from 1 species
GAGGGUAUAGCUCAGUGGUUGAGUGUGUGCUUAGCAUGCACGAGGUCCUGGGUUCAAUCUCCAGUACUUCCA